rnacentral:rRNA from 1 species
UGCAAGUCGCACGGGGGGAGCAAUCCUCCAGUGGCGCACGGGUGAGGAACACGUAGCUGACCUGCCCCGAAGAGCGGGAUAACGGUUCGAAAGGACUGCUAAUACCGCAUAAGCUCACAUUGACUAAAUAGGUGUGAGAAAAGGCGCAAGCCGUUUCGGGAGGGGGCUGCGACCCAUCAGGUAGUUGGUAAGGUAACGGCUUACCAAGCCGACGACGGGUAACGGGUCUGAGAGGAUGAUCCGUCGCACUGGGACUGAGACACGGCCCAGACUCCUACGGGAGGCAGCAGUGAGGAAUAUUGCACAAUGGGCGCAAGCCUGAUGCAGCGACGCCGCGUGGGUGAUGAAGGCUUUCGGGUCGUAAAACCCUUUUCUGUGUGACGAGCAAGGACGGUAGCACAGGAAUAAGCCACGGCUAACUACGUGCCAGCAGCCGCGGUAAAACGUAGGAGGCGAGCGUUAUCCGGAGUUACUGGGCGUAAAGCGCGUGUAGGUGGUUGGAUACGUCUGCUGUGAAAUGUCCCGGCUUAACCGGGAGGGUGCGGCAGAUACGGUCUGACUUGAGGGUGACAGAGGAGCGUAGAAUUCCGGGUGUAGUGGUGAAAUGCGUAGAGAUCCGGAGGAAUACCAGUGGCGCAAGCGGCGCUCUGGGCCACAUCUGACACUGAGACGCGAAGGCAUGGGGAGCGAACGGGAUUAGAAACCCCGGUAGUCCAUGCAGUAAACGAUGCAGACUGGGUGUGGGGUACGCAAGUAUUCUGUGCCGAAGCUAACGCGCUAAGUCUGCCGCCUGGGAAGUACGGUCGCAAGACUAAAACCCAAAGGAAUUGACGGGGGCCCGCACAAGCAGCGGAGCGUGUGGUUUAAUUCGAGGCUACCCGAAAA